rnacentral:rRNA from 1 species
AUUGAACGCUGGCGGAAUGCUUUACACACGCAAGUCGAACGGCAGCACGAGGAAACCUGGUGGCGAGUGGCGAACGGGUGAGUAAUACAUCGGAACGUGCCCAAUCGUGGGGGAUAACGUAGCGAAAGUUACGCUAAUACCGCAUACGAUCUACGGAUGAAAGCGGGGGAUCGCAAGACCUCGCGCGAAUGGAGCGGCCGAUGUCAGAUUAGGUAGUUGGUGGGGUAAAGGCUCACCAAGCCAACGAUCUGUAGCUGGUCUGAGAGGACGACCAGCCACACUGGGACUGAGACACGGCCCAGACUCCUACGGGAGGCAGCAGUGGGGAAUUUUGGACAAUGGGCGCAAGCCUGAUCCAGCCAUUCCGCGUGCAGGAUGAAGGCCUUCGGGUUGUAAACUGCUUUUGUACGGAACGAAACGGUUCUCUCUAAUACAGGGGGCUAAUGACGGUACCGUAAGAAUAAGCACCGGCUAACUACGUGCCAGCCGCCGCCGUAAAAC